UCACACCUUUUUAUGUUCCCAAGUUUUACCAGGUUCACCGUAAGUUUGAGGAUUUGAAAGUAGGGGAGGCUGGUAACAAGAAGCUUAUUCUUAUUGCCGAAUUGUAAAAUCAGAUUUAUGCCAAUAUGUCUUAUUUCUUGUAUUUAUUAUUGGUGUUAAGAAAUGUAGAAUUUCUAUUAACGGAUUUUUAUUGCACUAUUAGGAUUGGAGUUUUUUGUUUUCCUUUCUACUAUAUCAAUUUAUUUACUAUUUAAUUUCAUUCUUUCUUGGUUUUACUUGGUCUUAUAGGGUAACUCCUUUCCAUUUUUUUGGAGCGUUAUGGAUCCUUUUCCAUGGUUUUUCUAUUGGUCAUUGUAAUCGUGACCUGAUCUUAAACAAAAGGCAAAAGAUGGUUAUUCAGAUGUUACCAAGACUUACAUCUUCUCAAAUGGUCAUGAAGCUUCUCCUCGAAAAGUAAUGUCUUCAUCUCUACUCACUUUACCCGUACUCAUGAACUUCUGCAAUUAUUAUAUAUCUUUUAUUUUUCUAUUUUGUUUUUCAUAUGUAUUUGGGACCUUUUCCAACUAUAAAUUCUAAAAAUUAUAUCAAAUGUUAUUACUCUUUCCUAUUUACAUUGAUUAUAGUUGGAAAUAUUGUACUUUUGACCUUCGUUUGAGGUUUUUUUUAGUUUAUGGAGUUUCUUUGUCCCUUCUUUAGUUUAUAAUUGUUCAUAUUUAUUGAUUUUAAGUUUGUUGGUUUUCGCAAGUUGGUUGGUGUAUGAAUUUACUGGAUUUGGAUUGUUUUAUUUUUUGCAGAUAUUAUUAAAGUUGUUUCUCACGUGAUUCCUCUUUUCCUUUUCCCCUCUUCUUUCAUUAUUCAUUUCUUUCAAUUUUAUUCUUUACUUUUCAAUUUAAAAAAUAUAGAUCACGUUUUUCACAAAAUUAAAAUUAUAUUAUCAAUGGACUAUUAAAGGGGAAUAAUUGGUAGAAAAGUGCAUGACAAACAUAGUUAAAUUCUUCAUACAUUAUUCUCCACUUGCAUUUAUAACAAAAGAGAAAGAGAUUUUUUUUCCUUUCCAAAUUACAAAAAAAUGACCAAAUUCAUAGCAAAAAAACAUUUAAUGGUUUUUUCUUUUAAAUUAUGCGUCAUUCAGAAGUAUAUUUUAUAUAGACAGAAACUAUACAACUUGAAGAUCAAAGGAAGAAAUGAGAGGAGAGAAAACAAAAAAGGAGGAGAAAGAAGAAGCAAGUUACUACUGAUGCAAUUACAAUUAUCAUUUCUCAUAGUAGACUUGAAAAAUUUACGUGGAAAAGAAAAAGAGAUUCAUUAGUUGAAAGGAGAAGUGUGUCUUGGGUAACUUCAUAUUUAGCAUUUUACUUUUCUUGAUGACAAUAGUAUCCAUUUGAAUUAUUAGUAGAGUUUUCAAGAAAUUAUCAUUAAUACUCAUGGAAAAUUUGGAUUUUCCUCUCAUAUUGAAUUUAGUUGAUGACUAUGAAUUUUUUGUAAA